GUUGAAGCAGCACUGGUGGAGAAGUUAAGGAGAGGCUGGGACCUGGAGUAGUGUGUGGGCCCAGGUCUCUCCCCUGGCCCCCUCCCAUUUGCCACUGGAGAAGUGACUGGACUGGAGUGGGAGAUACUUCCCCUCUGGAAGGGGGAAAACAUGGACAGUGACUUAGCUGCAGGUCUAAGUCAGGAAGAGGAUGCUGCAGUACUUGGACUGAGGUGGGUCUGCAGGUGGAGAUGGUAACAGGACAGACACCAGGUGCACUGCCUGAGAGAGCUAAUCCCCAAGACUGCCAGCAGGAGGUGCUGCUCUGGUGUAACUUGUUGGCAGCUCAGAGACAAGAAAGGACAGGUGACAACAAUCCCAGCUCAACACUAUUGUAUUCUACCAAGUUAUGUUGCCCUAGUCACAACACUUGGAGGAAGUUCCACACAAACAGAGGAAGCAGAAUUUGUUCUGAGAAGAAAUUAGUAGCUGCAUUACUACCCUCUCAGCACUGAUGCCUACAGAAGAUAAAACCUGGGAAAAGUCCUCAGGAGGAAGCUGCAUGAUGGAAAGGAACAUGAUGACGGAAAGGAAAAUGCAGGAUCUUCAGGCCAUGGGGUAAAGACACCACAACCACCAUUCCUGAAGGAUUUUGAGCCAUCAGUGUACACAUGAAUUUGUUUGCCGUGUGACCCUCACUGUGGUAGUGGGGUGUUCCUAAAGGAACUCUCUGGCUACCAUA